CAGGGAAGGGGCAGAGAGAGAGGGAGACACAGAAUCUGAAACAGGCUCCAGGCUCUGAGCUGUCAGCACAGAGCCCGACGCGGGGCUCGAACUCACGGACCAGGAGAUCAUGACCUGAGCGGAAGUCGGACGCUUAACCGACCGAGCCACCCAGGCGCCCCUGAUUAUAAUUCUUUGUAAUAGAAACUCCACUACAGAACCCCCAGAUUAUGAUCACUUUGAAAUUAGGACUCAGAAGAGGAUCCAGUGAAAAGGAAGCAUGUGGGGAAACGGAUUUAGAAACAAGCAGCAGCAGAACAACCCUGUGAGGUAAUAAUAUUAUGACCUCCAUUUUACAUUACCUCAGAAGGAACUCAAGCAAAGAGAAACUGAGUUGCUUAUCCAAGGUCAUACAGCAGCAAUAUAGAGCCACAAGCUGAAACCAGACAGGACGAAGGCAUCCUUAGCAGACAGACUCCAUGUGUCCAGAGCCAGGUAGACUUGCCAAUUCCAACAGAAAGCCGUCCUACUUUUUGGGAAAACAAUGGCUGAAGAACAACUAACUUCACAUUCAAAGAAGAUGCCGAGCUAAUUGAAUUUCUUGCAGUGAUAAUGACAGUUCUGUCUACAUCUCAACAAGUUCCAGAAAGAUAUUAAAACGUUUGAACUACUUUGGCUAACUCUGUUCUUCUGAAGGAAAGUAAAACCAAGCAGUUUAAUUCAGACAGGGAAUUUGAAAGACAAAGUGUAUCAGUUAUUAGGACUGCAUCUGGGAGGAAUGGCACACUUUCUCAUCCCUAAGCAUGGAGGGGGCUAAUUAAUUACCUGAUUUCUGAAGAGGUACCAAGUGUGCUUGCUGAUGCCCUAGGAGAAAGUUAAAAUGUAUGUGUGGUGGGCGGUGGGGGGGGGGGGGGGGGGAGGGGGAGAAGGGAGUAGGUAGAUCCAUAGUUUGUACAAAGAUCCUAAAGAUACUGCCUCACUCUGAAAGGAAGCUUUCUGGGAGAACUUCAACAGUGACCUGGCUACAGACCAGAUUUGUAAAUGACGUGAAAUUAGGGGGUAAAAUUACUCAUUAGAAAUAAUUAAUGAUCCUCCAAAUGCAAAUAGGUUAAAAGAAUUAGACUAAUUUAAUAGAAUAAAAAUUAAUAUAGAUACAUGUAAACUGUUGGAAACAAACUUCAAUAAAGCGUAACAUGAAUGGGGUGCCUGGGUGGCUCAGUCAGUUAGGCGUCCGAAUUCAGCUCAGGUCAUGUUCUCGUGGUUCAUGGGUUUGGUGCGUCAGGCUCUGUGCUGAUAGCGUGGAGCUUGGGAUUCUUGUUCUUUCCUCUUUCUCUGCCCUUCCCCUGCUUGCGCUUUCUCUCAUUCUCAAAAUAAAUAAACUUAAAAAAAAAUAAAAUAAAAAAUAAAGUGUAACAUGAAAAAACCUAA